AUGAACGGACACAAAAGAUUGGAAGAGCACAAUUACAUACAGAGAACACAGGUCUAUGUGAAAGUGAAAGUCACUCCACCCUGUCUGAGUCUUUGCGACCCCAUGAAUCGCAGCACGCCAGGCCGCCCUGUCCAUCACCAACUCCUGGAGUUCACUCAGACUCACGUCCAUCGACUCGGUGAUAUGAUCCAGCCAUCUCAUCCUUGGUCGUCCCCUUCUCCUCCUGCCCCAAUCCCUCCCAGCAUCAGAGUCGUUUCCAAUGAGUCAACUCUUCGCUUGAGGUGGCCAAAAUACUGGAGUUUCAGCUUUAGCAUCAUUCCCUCCAAAGAACACCCAGGGCCGAUCUCCUUCAGAAUGGACUGGUUGGAACUCCUUGCAGUCCAAGGGACUCUCAAGAGUCUUCUCCAACACCACACUUCAAAAGCAUCAAUUCUUCGGUGCUCAGCCUUCUUCACAGUCCAACUCUCACAUCCAUACAUGACCACAGGAAAAACCAGAGCCUUGACUAGAAGGACCUUUGUUGGCAAAGUAAUGUCUCUACUUUUCAAUAUGCUAUCUAGGUUGGUCAUAACUUUUCUUCCAAGGAGUAAGCGUCUUUUAAUUUCAUGGUUGCAGUCACCAUCUGCAGUGAUUUUGGAGCCCCCCAAAAUAAAGUCUGACACUGUUUCCAUUGUUUCCCCAUCUAUUUGCCAUGAAGUCAUGGGACCAGAUGCCAUGAUCUUCGUUUUUGAAUGUUGAGUUUUAAGCCAACUUUUUCACUCUCCUCUUGUGAGAUGAGUGCAAUUGUGCAGUAGUUUGAGCAUUCU
rnacentral:lncRNA from 1 species